rnacentral:rRNA from 1 species
UUCUAUGGCCAUUCCACCCUGAAUAAGCCUGAUCCCAUUUGAUCUUGGAAGCUAAGUAGGGUAGGCCCUGGUUAGUACUUGGAUGGGAAACCACCUAGGAAGACCAGGUGCUGUAGACA